GCGGCAGAAAAACAUACACGUGAUGUAACCAUCGGCCCGCAGCUGCCGACCGCACCUGUCUGAAACCUGGCGCGCACCCUUAUGUUUGGUCGGCCAACCCGUAUUUAACACACUCCUCGAGGGAAGUCCAAUGUGGAAAUCGCCAAGGACGAUCCCCGCAUUACUUUCAUUAGUAUUGUAAGAAAUGGCAAUCGCAAUUGCUCACUGUGCUUGUGGUCGUUCUUCGCAGAGGACAAAGAAUAUAUGCCCUUUAGUCUUUAUUCGCAAUCUGACAAGCUGGUGCUUUUUGUGAAAUAAAUUGAGUUGAGUUCACUGCCACUCACAGGAAAUAGGCACCAGAGUGGCGCGCCUGUAAUAAACGCCUCUCGCCCUUUGCUGUACCCCCCCAAGCCCCCGCACCCCCAAAGUAGCAACGAACGACAGCAAAAGAGGCCGGCCGCAUGGGCGGUAAUGUUGGCGGGGAAGACAGUCCUGCCCGGCAAAACAGAGGAGUGAGGGGCGGGGAAUUCCUGUAAUCCAGCGCGGCGUUCAGUAGCCUUCAUUUGAAAUGAUUGAUCACCGUGAGGCUGGCGGGGAAACCAAAGACACCUGGGUUUCUGUUUCUGCCCGUUUGCGUGCAUCGAGAAUGACCUCGCUAAGUUUAGAUGGAGCCGGGAUUCGGGGAAAACAUCCUGCUGAUUUUAUACGGGGGUAAGCUAAAUAGCAAGGCUAAGCCAGUUUCCACACAGUGGUACACUUGAGGGUGGCUGAGAGAUACAGCUCCAAAGGCUUCCUUCCCUGAGACUGUCGGCAAAAGUGCCUCAUUCUCUGUCCACCAAUUAAUGGACAGGAAAAUUGAUUGGCUCCCCCCUACACUGGCAUGCCAUGCAGAAAUGCCCCCCGCCCCCGCCGUAAAAAAAACAAAAACUGUGCACCAUCCAAAAAAAGACAGUUGACAGCAGGUUCCCAAUAUAAUGUCUGCUCUUGUGUUAAAUAGAAAGUUUAAAAUUGUCAUAUUCUGACCUGAAUAUUUUGGAUUCCAGAAAUGCAGACUCAAACUGCAACAACAAAAUAUUUAUUACAACCAGAAAAAAAAUGCAUAAAACAAAAAGCGCUUGCAAAGGCAAGGUAUGAGAGAACAGCGAGAAUACACAAACAAAAUAUCAAAAUCCUAAUAUCGCGAAAGCAAAUAGAAAGAUGGAUUCAAAAAAGAAAGGAAUCAUGAAAACACAAAGUUCUGAGACAAAACGAAAAGUUUAGAAUACAACACCUGAAAGCUCAACAGCGAGCAAAGUCAAUCAUCCGAAAAGAGGCAUGGCAGUCCUUAAACAAAUGGCGGGCUUGGUUACUAAACACCGAUCAGGUGCGCCUGUUGGAGGGAAACGCACUCCACUCCGGCUGGGGCUGAAAACAACCAAAACAGACAGAACGUGACAAAAAUAUGAGCCACACUUCCCCACCUUGCAGGGAAAAAAACCACAGCGAGAAGAGCAUAGUUACAAUCUCUGCUCUGUAUUAAAUAUCGAUGUUUCAUUUCUUCGCCGUACGUCUAAGGCGGCUUCCCACAUGGUGUUCUCGAUUUUCCAAGUGUAUUAAACGCAGAUGUGCGUGCGUGCGUGCGUGCGUGCGUGUGUGCGUGUGUGUGUGUGUGUGAGUCAAUGGGUGGCAGCCAUCUGGGGGUGCAACUGGUAUAAAUUAGACCCCCCCCCCCCCCCCACAAGCAUCCAAUCUUCUAACGUCUUCCUAAGCACAAAUGCGUGCGUCCUUGACGCUUGAGCUUGCGUCGUGUCGCCGGGGGGGCCAAACAUGUCACGCGCUAAGCGAACGCACAAGAAGAAUUUAACGUCCGCCAGAAAAACAAAGACGCACUUUUCCUCCUCGACACUCGCGCGCAUUUUGCUUGAAACUCAAGCCUUGUGGUCUCGCGGCACACACACACACACACACACACACACACACACACGCACACGCACUCACACACAUAUCUGCUUCUCAUCCAGGCCCUUCGUCCAACCUCCUUUUGUCGUACCUUUAAGGGCGUGAGCAACAAUGGUCUGACAAGAUCGAGGAGGUGCGAGGGCGGGAGACAAAGGGAGCGCGGCGGAGGUGAGAGAAGAGGAAAUAAAAGGUGGUGCCGUAGGAAAGGAGACAAAAGGAGGAGUGUUAAGGAUCUGAGGCCAGGCACAGCGAGGAAGAAGAGAGUACAAGAGGAGGGGAGAGGAAGAUGGUAGUUUAAGCAUGGGGCGGUAGGAAUGGAGAAGAUAUGGUGGAAAUAGGGGAGGAGACAAAAUAGGGGGGGGGUAUGGAUACGCUGGGAGGAGGUGAGGUUGAAGAGGGGAGGGGCGAGAAGAGGAAGUGUCGAGGCGCUCUCAGAGCAGGUACGAAAAGAGUCCCUCUUGCUGCAACACGUCAUUAAAAAUGUAAUUCAUCUCUGUUCCAGCAGAGGGCAGUAAGUGGCCAGAGUAUCAAACGAUGCCAUUUAAAAUCAUUUCAAUUAAAAAAAAAAAAAGAAAAGAAAA